UCAUGUGGGAUUCCAGUAUUCCACAUAAGAUUUCAGCAGGAUAUUGCUCAUCGUGUAGGAUCCUGAAGCAUAUCUUGGCUGAGUGACAUGUAGGAUAUUGGUUUAAAGAUAUAUUAAUGCAUUGUAUUGUUAUUCCGAAAGUUGUGGUUUAAUGAGAUAUUAAUGCAAUUAUUCCAAAAGUUCAUAUCAAUCCAAACAUUUCUUGAUUACACAAUUCUCUUUCUCUGUCUCAUCUCUGAGAUUAAACUCACCCAAUGGAUUUAACUGCUCAAAUAUAAUCAAAAUGUCUGAUCUCUCCCCACGAAUGGCAACUAGGCUCUUACAAUCACACCUCUGUCGCUUUAUACACUCUCCAUCUCACACGCCGCCGCUCUAUCACCUCCUCCAUGCGACACCACAAUCACCUCCAGAUUCCGUCACCGUCGUCCGACUGCCGACACUUGCUGGUGACCUCUCGAUUCUUCCACUCUGGUCUUGCGAUUCGGCGUAUUGGUGGCGCAGCUAGAGUCUAUAGUCACCUCUGCAUCGCAACAAUCGCCUGACCCUCUCCUAUGCGUCGAUCUCCUCUCUGAUCUCACCUCCGCCAUCAACGAAGAGCCCAAGGUCGGUCGAUCUAAACGGGUUUAUGAGAAUGGGUGAAGUGGUUUUGAGCGUUGAAGAAGCAAUGGAAAUGGAGUUGGAGGCAGAGAAGAACGACAGUAAGAAGGAUGGCUCGUCCGAGGUGGUUAGGUGGGAAAGAUUUCUGUCGAGGAUGGUUCUUAGAGUUCUAUUGGUAGAAGCAGAUGAUUUUACACAUCAUAUUAUCUCUGCUCUUCUUAGAAAAUGCAAUUACAGAGUAAUUUGGGUGUGGGAGUUUACAUAAACCUGCUUGCAGUGUAUAGAUCCAUCUCUGACAGUCAAUCUCACAAUCACAAUGCUUGAUACAAAUGCAGAAGACGGCACAACCAUGGUUCAUCGAAGGUCUAAGCCCUGCCAACUCAAACAACCACUGACAAAAGCCUUCGUCUCUGCUGGCUGAUUGGAACUCUUACACCUUUUCUCAAGAAUCUGAUUCCUCCGCUUUCAAUCUUGAAGCUGCCGUCUGCACCACCACCGGGAAAGUCAGCGGCAGUUUUAGCAUUUGUGGCGAGUUUGAGAGGUUGAGUGGAUUUUGCUCUUUGGCUGCCCUGCUGGUGCUAACUUGCUCAAUGCUCUUCCUUCAAGUGUCUUCAUAUUUAUUCUUUUUGUUUAAUGUUUAAUUGUGGCAAGUUCAGAUUUAUUUCUCUUUUUUUUUUUUUCAUGAUAUUUCUUUUUUCUAAUUUCCGUUUUGGGUUUUGAAUUUGGAUGGCGGUGGGACUGAUGAAAAGCUUGAGGACUCUGGGAAAUCCACUUCUGAGGUGCAUGAUGAGGCUGAGCAGGAAUCCAGAUCUUAGAUAGAUCUCAGAGUUGCUUUGGGAUCAGGGUGUGUACAGUGGCGAAGGAAUCAUGAACUGAAUAGUUGUUUAGAAGGUUUUAUGUUUUUUUUUCGCAUUCUAGUUUCCCUACUCCUUCUCAAUCAUGACUUAUUAUGGUAGUUGAUAAUGAUAAAAAUGUAUAUUUUAUUUACUAAAUGUUGAUAAAAAAAAUUUACAAUAAAGCCUUCCUGAUACAACUAUACUGCAUGUUAAACUGUGUUUAUAGUCUGAAUCCGGAUAUUCUUGAAACUGUCAUUAAUUAACCAGAUUAAACAUCAACAUCUUCGCCUACUUUACACAUUUCAGAUGUACAUUGCUUCU